AGUACAUAGAUCACUCGUUGCAUGCUGAGACAUGAAUUCACAUUACUACCACUUCGGAAAGUAUCAAUAUCCUACGUGUAAAAUGGACUAGAAGAUACUGAUAAUAUUAAUUGUUUUAUGCAAUAUGGCAAUACAGCAGAUCACUCAAGGCUUGCUGAGACAUGACUACGCAUUCAUACCACUUGGGAAAAUAUCAUCAUCCUACGUUGAAAAUUAACUAGAAGAUACUGAUAAUUAUAUAGGUUUUAUGCAAUGUACGUGAAAUGGCUAUUGAAUGUAAUUGAUAGUAAUUUAAUAGUAGUGUAACAAUUGAAAUUUGUUAAAAAUCUGAAUAAAGGAUUGGGAAACACCUUUA